rnacentral:lncRNA from 1 species
CUUAGCCACAUGGAAAAUCCACCAUCUUGGAUUUAAUGAAAUCCGUAUACCGCCAAAGACGUAUGAGGGUAUUGAUAGGAUUUUGCCGUCAAAUAUAGUGAUUCCAAAUGCCUCCUAAAAAAAUAUCUAGCAGGUUCACAUAAUUCUGACAUAGUUUCUACUUUCUUUUUGUCUCCUCUGUAUCCAUUUGUAUGAUUGUGAAAGACCCUCAACUACCAACUUCACUGGUUUAAUUGGUAAUCUCUGCACAGUGCUUCAGUGCCGUGCCAAGUGCCAAGGACAACAGAGGAGCUUAUGUGAUCACAGUGGCUAUCGUCAAGAGUGCUUAAAGCAUUCUGGAACUUACAGCAGUAAUCAUAUUGUGAUGGACCUGGAUGGAGAUUUCCUUUAUAAAUUAACGUGUAUGUCUGUUGGAAAUCUGGAUGAUUACUGAUUACUGAACUCUAAAUGUUGUGAACAUGGUGAACCCUGUUCCAGAUACUAUUUCUAUUUCUAUUUUAAAAGCCCCAUCUCAGUCCCUUCUUCAAUGGCCAGUUGAUUGUGGCAGAGAUGACUUAGCAACAUUCCUUCCAUGUGCUUUGUUCACUCCUACAGAAAUAGAAGGUCUAGCUGAAUGCAAAGCUGCCAGCUACAGAUUGUAUUGUCUAAUCUCCUUUUCAAUUAGAUGCCUGCUGAAACUAGAUUUGGGGCAGAGCUGUAAGCAGAAGUGAUAUGCACAACUUCCAGCUAAUAUCUUAAAAAUAAAAGGUCCAUGAUCUCCCUUCCCCCUCUACUGCCUUCCUACUUUACUGAAGGCAGAUGUGGUGACAGGAGUGUUAGAGUCUGUAAACAAGUCAAAA